rnacentral:rRNA from 1 species
GAGUUUGAUUCUGGCUCAGGACGAACGCUGGCGGCGUGCCUAAUACAUGCAAGUCGAACGAACGGAGAAAGAAGCUUGCUUUUUUCAAAGUUAGUGGCGAACGGGUGAGUAACACGUGGGUAACCUGCCCAUCAGAGGGGGAUAACAUUCGGAAACGGAUGCUAAAACCGCAUAGGUUCCUUAGUUGCAUGACUGAGGAAGGAAAAGAGGCGUAAGCUUCUGCUGGUGGAUGGACCCGCGGUGCAUUAGCUAGUUGGUGAGGUAACGGCUCACCAAGGCGAUGAUGCAUAGCCGACCUGAGAGGGUGAUCGGCCACAUUGGGACUGAGACACGGCCCAAACUCCUACGGGAGGCAGCAGUAGGGAAUCUUCCGCAAUGGACGCAAGUCUGACGGAGCAACCGCCGCGUGAGUGAAGAAGGUUUUCGGAUCGUAAAACUCUGUCGUUAGAGAAGAAUAAGCAUAAUAGUAACUGAUUAUGCCGUGACGUUC